UGGGGAAUAUUGGGCAAUGGGGGAAACCCUGACCCAGCGACGCCGCGUGAGGGAAGAAGGCCUUAGGGUUGUAAACCUCUGUUGUGUGGGAAGAAGAGCGUGACGGUACCACACGAGGAAGUCCCGGCUAACUACGUGCCAGCAGCCGCGGUAAUACGUAGGGGACGAGCGUUGUCCGGAUUUACUGGGCGUAAAGGGCGCGUAGGCGGUCAUUUAAGUCAGCUGUGAAAUGGUUUGGCUUAACCGGAUCAUGCGGUUGAAACUGGAUGACUGGAGUGCUGGAGAGGCAAGUGGAAUUCCCAGUGUAGCGGUGAAAUGCGUAGAUCUUGGGAAGAACACCGGUGGCGAAGGCGACCUGCUGGCCAGCAACUGACGCUGAGGCGCGAAAGCCAGGGGAGCAAACG
rnacentral:rRNA from 1 species